CAAAGCGUCAGCUCGCGUGCUUGAUUUUAGCACCGAUUUACAACUCCGACGUUGCUAACGAUGGCUUUUAAUGAGCAGCUCAAGUUUCCAUUUGUUUACGGAGCCUGCUGACUGACAGAUCGAUAGAUGGAGAAAUAAAGCACGUGGAUUGCUUCCAGGUGAGGCAACCCGGAAGGAGGGAAAAGACAGAUUCAUAACAAGAAAAGCCAUCGCUGAGAUUUUGGCUUUUGAGGAAGAUUCCUCUAAGCAGGUGUCGUUGAACUCUGCUGUCAUGUCCGCAGCGGGGCCGGUGUGGCUCAUCGCCUUCACUUCAAUUUGAAUCAAUCCUUUCUCAAGAUGACAGCCAUUAUCUGCUCUAAAUGUUUCCAACCCGAGUGCCGUGGAAUAUUGAGAAUAUCACAUAAUUGGCUGCAAAUUAUUAAUUUACAGUAAUCUCGUUUGUUGGGGACCCGCCCAUUCCAUUAGAGGAAAUCUACAACCUACCAACCACAUAUUUGUGUUAUUUAUAGACUAUAAAGAGGAAACCAAUUUAUCAUACUAAUUAUGGAGAGAGGUCACCACAUCAGAGGCGAUUGCCCAUUAAAUGGGAUUCCGUUAUUUCUGGACUAUAAACCGCACCAGCUGGAAUUUGGGAAAAAUCCAGUUUUGUUCAUAUGUAAACCGUACCGGACUAUAAGAGUUCAAAGCUUUUUUUGCAGUCCAAAAACAUUCUCAUGUUCUUUAGUAGUGUAUCUGUGACUGAAUGCAUGUUACUUGCCAGGCCUUUUGAUGUAUAUCAGAGUCAGCCAAUGAGAUUGUAGCAUUUGCCUGCAGUUGUUCUUUACAAUAGGUGCUUUGCACUUGAGCGUCUUUUGUUCUGGGUGAAAUAUGAUCUUGAACUCUGGACUCUUUCUUUUAUGUAACAAUUCAUGUGGAAAAUAAUCCUGCAAUAUAACGUGAAAUGUUAUAAUACAAUGUGCCAAGGAAUAGCUCUAUUGCAAAUAAUUUAAAUCAACUAUCUAUGUUAACAAUGUAUUAUGACAUGCAUUAAGUAAAAGUUCUAUGUUUCAUGAUAAUUGCUGAAAGCAUGCAAGGACAGAAAACUAUUGUAUGUAUUACACAUUUUUUAAAAUAUGACAUAUUUUCACAAUUUCAGUUUAACACGCUAAUACGGUGCCCAGGGACAGAAAGACUACUUUGAUUAUUCACCAUUCACCAAGCCACAUUAAUUCCAAUUAAAGACUAAAUUGGCAGGUUUAUUAACAACACUCUGUUGUUACUCUUGUUAGAACGAAAAUUAAACGUUUUUACUUUUUUUAUUUUUUACUGUUGGUGUUAUAUUUUCGAUAAAGUAUCUGGCUGCUCAAAGGUUGGGAAAAUUGCACUAAUGUUGUACCCAAAGCAAAAGCGCCAUCUGCUGUUUUUGCAGUGAAUCAAUAUAUUGUCAUUACUUCAAAUGAAAUUGUGAAAUUGCUUAAAUCUGCCAUAGUGUUCUAAUUUCCUUGUAAAUACCUCAGAGCAAGAAUCUCGGAAUCUGGCAGGCUGUAAAAGAAUGCAGCAAUGUAGGGAGGACAAGACAUUUCUCACUCGCAUUUGAAGAGGCCGUCAAUCUGGAUCAUGCCAAUCCGCCCUCAAAUAUAGCUCAUAGAUUGGAACACAGUGCACCAAUCAAAAUUUGAUGGACAUGAUUUGAAAGUCUUUUACUGACCUCUUGUGGCCAAACAUGGUAAAUGUAAAGCAUAUGGUAGAAUACUGUCAAUGAAGAUUGUCCCCGACUGCUCUUGCAGUGGCAUAGCAAGGAAUUUUUCCGGUAGGGGCGCGCGCCCACAGGAAAAAAAAAUCGAACAUCACCCACGCCGUUCGCUGAUCACUAAAACAACAUCCGGGUCCGGGAGGCAAACGGUGAAUGGAUAACAUCGCGCACAUAGAAUAGCGCAAGCACAUUCGCGCAAGACCGAAAGAAAAAAACGGCAUGAAAAUGAAGAAUCGAAAAAGCUCGAUUUUUUUCAACCGGGGCGCAGGGAGUCCUAACCGGGGCAAGAAACAGCGCUGGCAAGAUUUUCUCCAAAAAUUAAUUUAUUGAAUAAAUGAAUAAAAACUUUCUAAACACUGUAAAUGUAUCUUUAGAGAGUUAUAAUUCUCAUCAGAUCAUCUAGUAUAAUACUUGUAUCAAUGCUGAUUUUUAGGAAAUUUAAAAAAAUUUACAGUUCAAAAUCUAUGUAAUUUUGUGCAAACAUAGUAAAGACAAAUAAAAUGGUUUUUCCAGUGAUUAUUAGAAGAUUGCUGUAAUUUUGCUCCGUUUGUCUAAAGUCCGGCAAGAUUAACAAGUAACUUGUAUGUUAACUGUUUUUUUUCUUUUUGUUUUUUUUUUGCAUUUGUAAGGCCUGAGAUAUAAAGCUGCCAGUCAUAGUGCAGA